rnacentral:rRNA from 1 species
GUUCGUAGGCGGUGCGGCAAGUUGGGAGUGAAAUCUCUGGGCUUAACUCAGAGGCUGCUUCCAAAACUGCCGUGCUUGAGUGUGGGAGAGGCGCGUGGAAUUGCAGGUGUAGCGGUGAAAUGCGUAGAUAUCUGCAGGAACACCCGUGGCGAAAGCGGCGCGCUGGACCACAACUGACGCUGAGGAACGAAAGCUAGGGGAGCAAACAGGAUUAGAUACCCUGGUAGUCCUAGCCCUAAACGAUCAGGACUUGGGGUGCCGCCCGUUCGGGCGUCGUCCCGGAGCUAACGCGUUAAGUCCUGCACCUGGGGAGUACGGUCGCAAGACUGAA